GAUGAAGAACGCAGCGAAAUGCGACAAGUAAUGUGAAUUGCAGAAUUCCGUGAAUCAUCGAAUCUUUGAACGCACAUUGCGCCCUCUGGUAUUCUAGCGGGCAUGCCUGUUCGAGCGUCAUUACAACCCUCAGGCCCCCGGGCCUGGCGUUGGGGAUCGGCGGAGCCCCCCGUGGGCACACGCCGUCCCCCAAAUACAGUGGCGGUCCCGCCGCAGCUUCCAUCGCGUAGUAGCUAACACCUCGCGACUGGAGAGCGGCGCGGCCACGCCGUAAAACACCCAACUCUUCUGAAGUUGACCUCGAAUCAGGUAGGAAUACCCGCUGAACUUAAGCAUAUCAAUAAGCGGAGGA
rnacentral:misc_RNA from 1 species